GACGAACGCUGGCGGCGUGCUUAACAUAUGCAAGUCGAACGGAAAGGCCCUGCUUUUGUGGGGUGCUCGAGUGGCGAACGGGUGAGUAACACGUGAGUAACCUGCCCUUGACUUUGGGAUAACUUCAGGAAACUGGGGCUAAUACCGGAUAGGAGCUCCUGCUGCAUGGUGGGGGUUGGAAAGUUUCGGCGGUUGGGGAUGGACUCGCGGCUUAUCAGCUUGUUGGUGGGGUAGUGGCUUACCAAGGCUUUGACGGGUAGCCGGCCUGAGAGGGUGACCGGCCACAUUGGGACUGAGAUACGGCCCAGACUCCUACGGGAGGCAGCAGUGGGGAGUAUUGCACAAUGGGCGGAAGCCUGAUGCAGCAACGCCGCGUGCGGGAUGACGGCCUUCGGGUUGUAAACCGCUUUCGCCUGUGACGAAGCGUGAGUGACGGUAAUGGGUAAAGAAGCACCGGCUAACUACGUG
rnacentral:rRNA from 1 species